rnacentral:rRNA from 1 species
CCCGGCACAAGCGGAGGAACAUGUGGUUUAAUUUCGAUUGAUACGCGAGGAACCUUACCUGGGCUUAAAUGCAGAGUGCAUGGAGUGGAAACACUUCUUCCCUUCGGGGCUCUUUGCAAGGUGCUGCAUGGUUGUCGUCAGCUCGUGCCGUGAGGUGUCGGGUUAAGUCCCAUAACGAGCGCAACCCUUAUCGUUAGUUGCCAGCGGGUAAAGCCGGGAACUCUAGCGAAACUGCCGGUGUAGACCGAGAGGAAGGUGGGGAUGACGUCAAAUCAGCACGGCCCUUAUGUCCAGGGCUACACACGUGUUACAAUGGCCGGUACAGAGGGCAGCUACCUGGAGACAGGAUGCGAAUCUCGAAAGCCGGUCUCAGUUCGGAUCGGAGUCUGCAACUCGACUGCAUGAAACUGGAAUCGCUAGUAAUCGUGGAUCAGAACGCCACGGUGAAUACGUUCCCGGGCCUU